rnacentral:rRNA from 1 species
UGAGUAACGCGUGGGUAACCUGCCUUAUCCAGGGGGAUAACAGUUAGAAAUGACUGCUAAUACCGCAUAAGCGCACAGUUUCGCAUGAAACAGUGUGAAAAAGAUUUAUCCGGGAUAAGAUGGACCCGCGUCUGAUUAGCUAGUUGGUGAGGUAACGGCCCACCAAGGCGACGAUCAGUAGCCGGCCUGAGAGGGUGAACGGCCACAUUGGGACUGAGACACGGCCCAAACUCCUACGGGAGGCAGCAGUGGGGAAUAUUGCACAAUGGGGGAAACCCUGAUGCCAGCGACGCCGCGUGAGUGAAGAAGUAUUUCGGUAUGUAAAGCUCUAUCAGCAGGGAAGAAAAUGACGGUACCUGACUAAGAAGCCCCGGCUAACUACGUGCCAGCCGCGGC